GACGAACGCUGGCGGCGUGCCUAAUACAUGCCAGUUGAGCGCUGAAGGUUGGUACUUGUACCAACUGGAUGAGCAGCGAACGGGUGAGUAACGCGUGGGGAAUCUGCCUUUGAGCGGGGGACAACAUUUGGAAACGAAUGCUAAUACCGCAUAAAAACUUUAAACACAAGUUUUAAGUUUGAAAGAUGCAAUUGCAUCACUCAAAGAUGGUCCCGCGUUGUAUUAGCUAGUUGGUGAGGUAAAGGCUCACCAAGGCGAUGAUACAUAGCCGACCUGAGAGGGUGAUCGGCCACAUUGGGACUGAGACACGGCCCAAACUCCUACGGGAGGCAGCAGUAGGGAAUCUUCGGCAAUGGACGAAAGUCUGACCGAGCAACGCCGCGUGAGUGAAGAAGGUUUUCGGAUCGUAAAACUCUGUUGGUAGAGAAGAACGUUGGUGAGAGUGGAAAGCUCAUCAAGUGACGGUAACUACCCAGAAAGGGACGGCUAACUACGUG
rnacentral:rRNA from 1 species